rnacentral:rRNA from 1 species
GAAUAUUGGACAAUGGGCGGAAGCCUGAUCCAGCCAUGCCGCGUGUGUGAAGAAGGCCUUUUGGUUGUAAAGCACUUUAAGCGAGAAGGAGGCUACCUGGAUUAAUACUCUAGGAUAGUGGACGUUACUCGCAGAAUAAGCACCGGCUAACUCUGUGCCAGCAGCCGCGGUAAUACAGAGGGUGCGAGCGUUAAUCGGAUUUACUGGGCGUAAAGCGUGCGUAGGCGGCUGAUUAAGUCGGAUGUGAAAUCCCUGAGCUUAACUUAGGAAUUGCAUUCGAUACUGGUCAGCUAGAGUAUGGGAGAGGAUGGUAGAAUUCCAGGUGUAGCGGUGAAAUGCGUAGAGAUCUGGAGGAAUACCGAUGGCGAAGGCAGCCAUCUGGCCUAAUACUGACGCUGAGGUACGAAAGCAUGGGGAGCAAACAGGAUUAGAUACCCCUGUAGUC